AACGAACGCUGGCGGCAGGCUUAACACAUGCAAGUCGAACGCCCCGCAAGGGGAGUGGCAGACGGGUGAGUAACGCGUGGGAAUCUACCUAGUUCUACGGAACAACAGAGGGAAACUUCUGCUAAUACCGUAUACGCCCUAUGGGGGAAAGAUUUAUCGGAAUUAGAUGAGCCCGCGUAAGAUUAGCUAGUUGGUGAGGUAAUGGCUCACCAAGGCGACGAUCUUUAGCUGGUCUGAGAGGAUGAUCAGCCACACUGGGACUGAGACACGGCCCAGACUCCUACGGGAGGCAGCAGUGGGGAAUAUUGGACAAUGGGCGCAAGCCUGAUCCAGCCAUGCCGCGUGAGUGAUGAAGGCCUUAGGGUUGUAAAGCUCUUUCAGUGGGGAAGAUAAUGACGGUACCCACAGAAGAAGCCCCGGCUAACUUCGUGCCAGCAGCCGCGGUAACAC
rnacentral:rRNA from 1 species